GCCGGGAUCCCGGCGGGGUUGGAGUUCCGCUUCCUGGCAGGCCUCAGGGGUUGCUCUGAGGACCGAUGACUCCGAAAGCGCUCAGAAGAACGCUUGGUCCAUUGGUGCUAUCCACUUCCUUCCAGACGUCCUAUGGGAGAAACAGCUUCCAGCAACACCCAUGGCAAUUAACACAGAGGAGUGACUCACAGGAACUUCUGGAAGAGGAGGAAAGAUCUUGCUGAUUUAACAGGAAAUGCCAACAUCAAUGAGAAAAUGAGGGACCCUCACACUAGCCUCACGAGAACCCGGUGGAUACGGCUCAUCCCAGAGGGUGCCUUGGAUCAGCACCUGGGGAAAAAAAGCAGCACCUGAAACUGGUCAGCCUGCAGAGGAGAGAAGACUGAGCAAGUUUUCUCCAAAUUUCACAACAGGCUUUACCAUGUGGAUGAUAUAACCAGUCGUCAGUACAUUUCUGUAAAGAAAUGUACUGGUUUAAGAAAACCAGCCAUGCCAGUGGGCCUGAGGAUUACCUUUCAUUUUCCUCUUUUCUCUCUGGAAAAUGAUAUUGCAAAAUUGUAAAAAGAGACAAUUAAAAAGUGGAUGAAAGGGUAUCACAGUGAGCCAUUAUGAAUAAAAAAUCUCAGUAUUUUCUGGA